rnacentral:rRNA from 1 species
CUGAACCAGCCAAGUAGCGUGAAGGAUGACGGCCCUAUGGGUUGUAAACUUCUUUUAUACGGGAAUAAAGUGAGCCACGUGUGGCUUUUUGUAUGUACCGUAUGAAUAAGGAUCGGCUAACUCCGUGCCAGCAGCCGCGGUAAUACGGAGGAUGCGAGCGUUAUCCGGAUUUAUUGGGUUUAAAGGGAGCGUAGACGGGUUUUUAAGUCAGUUGUGAAAGUUUGCGG